rnacentral:rRNA from 1 species
GUGGGGAAUUUUGGACAAUGGACGCAAGUCUGAUCCAGCCAUUCCGCGUGCAGGACGAAGGCCUUCGGGUUGUAAACUGCUUUUGUACGGAACGAAAAAGCCUUGGCUAAUACCCAGGGUCCAUGACGGUACCGUAAGAAUAAGCACCGGCUAACUACGUGCCAGCAGCCGCGGUAAUACGUAGGGUGCGAGCGUUAAUCGGAAUUACUGGGCGUAAAGCGUGCGCAGGCGGUUAUAUAAGACAGAUGUGAAAUCCCCGGGCUCAACCUGGGAACUGCAUUUGUGACUGUAUAGCUAGAGUGCGGCAGAGGGGGAUGGAAUUCCGCGUGUAGCAGUGAAAUGCGUAGAUAUGCGGAGGAACACCGAUGGCGAAGGCAAUCCCCUGGGCCUGCACUGACGCUCAUGCACGAAAGCGUGGGGAGCAAACAGA